rnacentral:rRNA from 1 species
UACGGAGGGGGCUAGCGUUGUUCGGAAUUACUGGGCGUAAAGCGCGCGUAGGCGGAUCUGCAAGUCGGGGGGUGAAAUCCCGAGGCUCAACCUCGGAACUGCCUUCGAUACUGCGGGUCUCGAGUCCGGGAGAGGUGAGUGGAAUUCCUAGUGUAGAGGUGAAAUUCGUAGAUAUUAGGAAGAACACCAGUGGCGAAGGCGGCUCACUGGCCCGGUACUGACGCUGAGGCGCGAAAAGCGUGGGGAGCAAACAGG